rnacentral:rRNA from 1 species
AUUGAACGCUGGCGGCAUGCCUUACACAUGCAAGUCGAACGGUAACGGGCCUUCGGGUGCCGACGAGUGGCGCACGGGUGAGUAAUACAUCGGAACGUGCCCGAUCGUGGGGGAUAACGAGGCGAAAGCUUUGCUAAUACCGCAUACGAUCUACGGAUGACAGCAGGGGACCGCAAGGCCUUGCGCGGACGGAGCGGCCGAUGGCAGAUUAGGUAGUUGGUGGGAUAAAAGCUUACCAAGCCGACGAUCUGUAGCUGGUCUGAGAGGAUGAUCAGCCACACUGGGACUGAGACACGGCCCAGACUCCUACGGGAGGCAGCAGUGGGGAAUUUUGGACAAUGGGCGCAAGCCUGAUCCAGCCAUGCCGCGUGCAGGAUGAAGGCCUUCGGGUUGUAAACUGCUUUUGUACGGAACGAAAAGCCUUCUUUUAAUACAGGAGGGUCAUGACGGUACCGGAAGAAUAAGCACCGGCUAACUACGUG